rnacentral:misc_RNA from 1 species
GAAAUGCGAUAAGUAGUGUGAAUUGCAGAAUUCAGUGAAUCAUCGAAUCUUUGAACGCACAUUGCGCCCUUUGGUAUUCCAUAGGGCAUGCCUGUUCGAGCGUCAUUUGCACCCUCAAGCCUUGCUUGGUGUUGGGCGCUUGUCCCGCCGUCGCGCGCGGACUCGCCUGAAAUGAAUUGGCAGCCAGCCGCCUGGGCUCGGAGCGCAGCAGAAUCAGCGCAGCGAGACCCGGCGUCGCGGCGUCCACAAGCCCCUUUUUACCACGCUUGACCUCGGAUCAGGUAGGGAUACCCGCUGAACUUAA